rnacentral:tRNA from 1 species
GGAGGCGUGGCCGAGCGGCUUAAGGCAGCAGUUUGCUAAACUGCGGGGGCCUAAAAAGCCCCACACAGGUUCGAAUCCUGUCGCCUCCGCCA